AUAGCAUGAUGAUUUGCUUUGGUCCGUGUUUAUGAAGUUCAAUGAUUUCAUUUUCAAAGCUCUGAUAGC